rnacentral:ncRNA from 2 species
UGACGCCGUGCGGGAGAGACCCGGUGCAGGAGGCCGGGCGCCGAAGGAGCAAAUCCCUUCCCGGAAUCUCUCAGGCACACGGACCGUACGGUCGAG